CGCGAAUUCGCCCUUCCCUAUGGGGUGCAGCAGGCGCGAAACCUUUACAAUGCACGCAAGUGUGAUAAGGGGAUCCCGUGUGCUCAUGUUAUACAUGGGCUUUUGCCAAGAGUAAAUAUCUUGGCGAAUAAGUGGUGGGCAAGACGGGUGCCAGCCGCCGCGGUAACACCUGCGCCACGAGUGGGAGCCGCAUUUAUUGGGCCUAAAGCGUCCGUAGCCGGUUUAGUAAAUCUCUUGUGAAAUCGUCAAGCUUAACUUGACGGCGUGCUCGAGAAACUGCUAGACUAGGGACCGGAGAGGAGUUAGGAGUAUGCCUGGGGGAGCGGUAAAAUGCUAUAAUCCUAGGUAGACUACCUGUGGCGAAGGCGCCUAACCAGAACGGAUCCGACGGUGAGGGACGAAAGCCAGGGGAGCGAUCCGGAUUAGAUACCCGAGUAGUCCUGGCCGUAAACGCUGCGAGCUAGGUGUUGCAUAACUUACGAGGUUAUGCAGUGUCGAAGCGAAGGUGAUAAGCUCGCCGCCUGGGAAGUACGGUCGCAAGACUGAAACUUAAAGGAAUUGGCGGGGAGACACUACAACAGGUGAAAUGUACGGUUUAAUUUGAUUAUACGCGGAGAACCUCACCAAGAGCGACAGCAGGAUGAAAGUCAGUCUAAAGGGCUUACUAGACACGCUGAGAGAAGUGCAU
rnacentral:rRNA from 1 species